GGUUAUAUCAAAACUCCCUCCUCACCCCAUCAGCAUCCUAGUUGCCAACCCUUCCAUCUUCUUUAAGGGAGAAUUUUCCUUUUCUUUUUCUUACCAUUUUUCUUGAAAUCAAGUCCUCCCAAUUUUGAUUUUUUACCAAAAUUAAGUAGAAAGUCAUUUUUUUAAGCUCAUUUCCACCAUUAUUUUCUUCAUCUAAGCUUAAUGCUUCAUGGGUUUGAUGAGAGAAAGUUGAAUUUAAGGAGAGAAAAGUCCAAAUAAAGUAAGAAAUUGUACUUCCAUCAUUCCUACCUUGCUAUUUGAAAUUUUUGUUAUGAGAAAGCUUUAUAAGCUUGAGUUUUUAUAUUUUUAAUUUGUGGGAAAUGUGGAAAUGAUGGAAAGUGAGCUUCCAAGCUUGGGAGGAGAAGAUUUAAGUGUUAAAAAACUUAGUUUUGAGUUCUAGUUCAUCCAAGAGGAAUGAUUGAAGACAAAAGCCAAGAUGGUGCUUUUAUUUGCAGUGGCUACUCUCUUCAAGCUGGAGCAAAGCACAAGAAAGCACCAAUGGUAUUACAGUGUCACAGCUGAAGCAACGACAAUGCAAGGAACAAUAUGUUUUAUUGAAGGAUUGCCAAGCUUUGUAAUGUGAUUCACCGUUGCAGUCGGCUAUAGGUUGGCCACGGAGAGCCAGUAUCCGGCAGUGUUUGACAACAAUUUGGCGGAGUGUGGGAAGUGGAUGGGGAAUGGGAGGAGAGCAAAUGCUCAUGUUUUCCAUGGGUUCGGUGCUUCCAUGGCUGAACCUUGGUUGGCUGCUCAUGGAGAUCCCUCCAGGAAUGGUUUUAGUUCUUCAUUUUUCAAUCAAUUAGAGCCCUUCAAUUCAUUAGCAACUUAUCAGACUAAUAAUUUAUUUGGUUGUUCAUUCUUCUUUCUUUGAAUUUCCUAUUGGACUGAAAAGCUUAUAAUCAAGAAGAGCAAGUGAUUCACCCAAACACACCCCUGGGGAUAAAGCAAUAACCUGGGUUAUUUUUAUUUUAAAAGAGUGAAACAGUUCUACAAGGUGGUCUCGAGUUCACUUCAUUGUCCUGGUUGUUAACUUCACAGUCCUUCGUUUACCGUCGGGACGAGUAUUAGCGGAGUUCGUUUCCUCGAUGCAAGGCCGAAAAUUUCAUCAACAUCAACAUCAUCAGUAUGAAUUC